GACGAACGCUGGCGGCGUGCUUAACACAUGCAAGUCGAACGGAAAGGCCCUGCUUUUGUGGGCUGCUCGAGUGGCGAACGGGUGAGUAACACGUGAGUAACCUGCCCUUGGCUUGGGGACAACUUCAGGAAACUGGGGCUAAUACCGGAUAGGAGCGCCUGCUGCAGGGUGGGGGUUGGAAAGUGUCGGCUGGUGGGGAUAGACUCGGGGCUUACCGGCUUGUUGGUGGGGUAGUGGCUUACCCAGUCUUUGAUGGGUAGCCGGCCUGAGAGGGUAACCGGACACAUUAGGACUGCGGUACGGCCCAGACUGCUACGGGAGACAGCAGUGGGGAAUAUUGCACAAUGGGCGGAAGCGUGAUGCAGCAACGCCGCGUGCGGGAUGACCUCCUUCGGGUUAUAAACCGCUUUCGCCUGUGACGAAGCGUGAAUGACGGUAAUGGGUAAAGAAGCACCGGCUAACUACGUG
rnacentral:rRNA from 1 species